rnacentral:rRNA from 1 species
ACUCCUACGGGAGGCAGCAGUGGGGAAUAUUGCACAAUGGGCGCAAGCCUGAUGCAGCCAUGCCGCGUGUAUGAAGAAGGCCUUCGGGUUGUAAAGUACUUUCAGCAGUGAGGAAGGUGGGUAUGUUAAUAGCAUACUCAUUUGACGUUAGCUGCAGAAGAAGCACCGGCUAACUACGUGCCAGCAGCCGCGGUAAUACGUAGGUGGCAAGCGUUGUCCGGAAUUAUUGGGCGUAAAGCGCGCGCAGGUGGUUUAAUAAGUCUGAUGUGAAAGCCCACGGCUCAACCGUGGAGGGUCAUUGGAAACUGUUAAACUUGAGUGCAGGAGAGAAAAGUGGAAUUCCUAGUGUAGCGGUGAAAUGCGUAGAGAUUAGGAGGAACACCAGUGGCGAAGGCGGCUUUUUGGCCUGUAACUGACACUGAGGCGCGAAAGCGUGGGGAGCAAACAGGAUUAGAUACCCUGGUAGCUA